rnacentral:ncRNA from 1 species
CAAAGGCCUGGUCCUGACUUUGCUAUCGGCUAUGUCUAUGAUUAUACAUGCAAGUAUCCGCCCCCCCGUGAGGAUGCCCUUCGUGCCCUAGUCUGGGUCCAAGGAGCUGGUAUCAGGCACACACCUUUCAGCCCACGACGCCUUGCUAAACCACACCCCCAAGGGUAUUCAGCAGUGAUUGAUUUUAAGCCAUGAGUGAAAACUUGACUUAGUAAGAGACAUCCCAGGGCCGGUAAAUCUCGUGCCAGCCACCGCGGUUAUACGAGAGACCCAAGUUGAUAGCUGAUGGCGUAAAGCGUGGUUAGGGGCACAGAGGAAUAAAGUCGAAGGCUCUCUAGGCUGUUUAACGCUAACCGAGAGUAUGAAGCUCGAUUACGAAAGUAGCUUUAUUACACCUGAUCCCACGAACGCUGAGAAACAAACUGGGAUUAGAUACCCCACUAUGCUCAGCCCUAAACAUUGAUUGCGUGACACAAUAGCAAUCCGCCCGGGUAUUACGAACACUAGUUUAAAACCCAAGGGACUUGGCGGUGCUUUACCCCCCUAGAGGAGCCUGUCCUAGAACCGAUAAUCCCCGUUCAACCUCACCCUCUCUAGCCCCUUUCCGCCUAUAUACCGCCGUCGCCAGCUCACCCUGUGAAGGUCUAAUAGUAAGCAAAAUUGGUAUAGCCCAGUACGUCAGGUCGAGGUGUAGUGAAUGAGAGGGGAAGAGAUGGGCUACAUUCGCUGAUUGUAGCGAAUAACGAAUGGUGCAUUGAAAUAUGCACCUGAAGGUGGAUUUAGAAGUAAGUUGGGAAUAGAGUGCCCUGCUGAAUUUGGCUCUAAAGCGCGUACAUACCGCCCGUCACCCUCCCCUAGUCUACCUAGCCUCUUGUUAAAUAAAACCUUUUACCCCGCAGAGGGGAGGGAAGUCGUAACAUGGUAAGCGUACCGGAAGGUGUGCUUGGAUAAAC